rnacentral:rRNA from 1 species
CAACCUGCCGAUAACUCGGGGAUAGCCUUUCGAAAGAAAGAUUAAUACCCGAUGGUAUAAUCAGACCGCAUGGUCUUGUUAUUAAAGAAUUUCGGUUAUCGAUGGGGAUGCGUUCCAUUAGGCAGUUGGUGAGGUAACGGCUCACCAAACCUUCGAUGGAUAGGGGUUCUGAGAGGAAGGUCCCCCACAUUGGAACUGAGACACGGUCCAAACUCCUACGGGAGGCAGCAGUGAGGAAUAUUGGUCAAUGGGCGCAGGCCUGAACCAGCCAAGUAGCGUGAAGGAUGACUGCCCUAUGGGUUGUAAACUUCUUUUAUACGGGAAUAAAGUGGAGUAUGCAUACUCCUUUGUAUGUACCGUAUGAAUAAGGAUCGGCUAACUCCGUGCCAGCAGCCGCGGUAAUACGGAGGAUCCAAGCGUUAUCCGGAUUUAUUGGGUUUAAAGGGAGCGUAGAUGGAUGUUUAAGUCAGUUGUGGAAGUUUGCGGCUCAACCGUAAAAUUGCAGUUGAUACUGGAUAUCUUGAGUGCAGUUGAGGCAGGCGGAAUUCGUGGUGUAGCGGUGAAAUGCUUAGAUAUCACGAAGAACUCCGAUUG